UACGUAGGGUGCGAGCGUUAAUCGGAAUUACUGGGCGUAAAGCGUGCGCAGGCGGUUAUUUAAGUCAGGUGUGAAAGCCCUGGGCUUAACCUAGGAAUUGCGCUUGAGACUGGAUAGCUUGGAGUGCGGCAGAGGGGAGGUGGAAUUCCACGUGUAGCAGUGAAAUGCGUAGAGAUGUGGAGGAACACCGAUGGCGAAGGCAGCCUCCUGGGCCAGCACUGACGCUCAUGCACGAAAGCGUGGGGGAGCAAACAGG
rnacentral:rRNA from 1 species